rnacentral:rRNA from 1 species
AGGGCACCACCAGGAGUGGAGCCUGCGGCUUAAUUUGACUCAACACGGGAAAACUCACCCGGCCCGGACACUGGAAGGAUUGACAGAUUGAGAGCUCUUUCUUGAUUCAGUGGGUGGUGGUGCAUGGCCGUUCUUAGUUGGUGGAGUGAUUUGUCUGGUUAAUUCCGAUAACGAACGAGACUCUAGCCUACUAAAUAGAUCGUCGGCUUACAAACGCCGGCGAGACUUCUUAGAGGGACAGGCGGUGAUUCAACCGCACGAAACAGAGCAAUAACAGGUCUGUGAUGCCCUUAGAUGUCCGGGGCCGCACGCGCGCUACACUGAAGUGAUCAGCGUGCUUUUUCAACCUACUCUGUCAAGAGUGGGGAACCCAAUGAACCUUCUUCGUGAUUGGGAUAGGGGAUUGUAAUUAUUCCCCUUGAACGAGGAAUUCCCAGUAAGCGCGAGUCACAAGCUCGCGUUGAUUACGUCCCUGCCCUUUGUACACACCGCCCGUCGCUACUACCGAUUGAAUGUUUU